UACGUUCGUUGGGUAGGGGAGCGUUCUGUAAGCCUGUGAAGGUGUGUCGUGAGGCAUGCUGGAGGUAUCAGAAGUGCGAAUGCUGACAUAAGUAACGAUAAAGCGGGUGAAAAGCCCGCUCGCCGGAAGACCAAGGGUUCCUGUCCAACGUUAAUCGGGGCAGGGUGAGUCGACCCCUAAGGCGAGGCCGAAAGGCGUAGUCGAUGGGAAACGGGUUAAUAUUCCCGUACUUGGUGUUACUGCGAAGGGGGGACGGAGAAGGCUAUGUUGGCCGGGCGACGGUUGUCCCGGUUUAAGCGUGUAGGUGUGUGUUCCAGGUAAAUCCGGUU
rnacentral:rRNA from 1 species